UUUAAGCAUAWUCACUCAGUGGAGGAAUGGAAGGCAACCGCGACUGCUUCAGUAAUGGCGAAUGAACCGGCAAUCCAGUGGCCCGGCCCGAAUCGAUCCUGUCCUAUGGUCGGCUAUCGCGUGGGAAGCAAAACAAUGCAUCCAUCCUGUGGGCUGUGGAGCGGCCAGUGCUUGGCCCGGGUCGUCGCGGCAUCGGGAAGGCUCUAUCCUGGAACGGACCUUGUUUGCGCGGCAGAGGGUGAGUGCCCCGUGCGCAGGACUGUGUGCCAUGACCGGCCUGGGCCGGACUGUGCUGYAUCCGUGAGUAAGGCUGCUUGGGACUGCAGUUUGAACCGCGAGACGUGUCUCUCGCAAGGCUGUGGAGUAUCACCAUGGGACCGAUAGCGCACAAGUAGAGCGAUCGAAGGAUGCAAAGGACUUUGUGAAGAGAGCUAGACAGUGCCUGAAGCCUCGGCAGAAACGGCGGUGUGCGGUUGUGCCUGUUCAGUGCUAGACCCAGCUGGGGGUCGGAUCGUGGAUCUGGCCCUGCCAUCGAUCGUGGACCCGUCCCUGCUGGCCAUCCAAGCGACCAUAGACCGGCCCCACGGUCGCGCCGCGGAGCCAACGUCCCAAGGCGUUGAUGGCUCUCCUUUCGCGGCGGCCUGUUGUGGUUGGGUAUCAGYAAGCCUCGCGUGAGUCUGUGGGUUGAAUGAGAAAGAACCAAGGAAUGCGCAUGCCGCUCUGCUUCUCUGUCUGUCUAUCUGGCGCUGUGUGAUGGCUGUGACUGGUUGAAGAGGAAGAGUGUGGAACCCCGGUUGGCGCCUGCGGGCGUUUACCAGUUACCAGUGGUCUGGUCUCGUUUGCAUGGCUGCAACGGGAGGGUCACCGCACAAGCGGCGGUGACUGCCAGCGCCAUGCGGUCCCCCGGCCCAGCGCUGGUAGGUUCCAAUGGCAGCCCGUGCUUGGCCUCCUCUGCGGAGCCGCACACUGCCCGUCUUGAAACACGGACCAAGGAGUCUAUGGACCUUGCAGGUUGGCUUGUGCGAUCGYGGCUGUGAGUGAAAACCCCAAGGCGCGGUGAAAGCAAAGACCAACAGAGCCUCCAGAUGCUUGGUGAUGAGCUGCAUGGAACACCGGCCCGCGUGUCCAACGGACGUGGCUUUGAGUGCUUGCAAGGAUCGUGUGACCCGAAAGGUGGUGAACUAUGCCAUUCCAUGACGAAGCCAUGGGAAACUGUGGUGGAGGUCAGUAAGCUGUUCUGACGUGCAAAUCGCUGUAGCCCGAGUGUGGCAUGGGGGUGAAAGGCCAAUCGAACCAUCUAGUAGCUGGUUUCACUCGAAGUUUCCCUCAGGAUAGCUUGGCUGAUGUACAACCGGCUGAUGUGUAGCGGGAACUGUACCGCGGCGACACCAGUGAGGCAAGACCGCUGACCCACAAGCGAUGGCUUAUGAUCCACAGGCAGGGUUCCGUCCGGUAAAGCAACGCAUGAGAGGCUUCAGCGGGGAGCAAUGCAUCCUCGACCUAUCCUCGAACUGUGAAUGGGCGUGGCAUCAGUGGCUGCAACAACCAUGGAACCGACAGGGUCUGUGGUCUCUCUCUAGCUCCACGUGGUUUUGGCUGUGGCUUUCCAACGCACCUCUAUCCUCUGGUUCCAGUGGUUUGGCAUGCUUCUUCACCGUUGUAGUCUGAGUCCUGGUUCGGCUGAUCACCACACCGGUUACUCCAUGGGCCUGCGCUGAGCAUGUUGGCUGCUGAAGGACACGGCCUCUGGCCGCGCCUGCGUUGGUUGUGAUGAGAGGGAUGCUGACGUUUGCUGGUGACGUCCGUUGUUGUGUGCCUGGCCAUGCUGGUUGUGUGGGGGUCUGCCCUCCCACGCCUGCCUCUGGAUUGCAUGCUGUUGGCCCUUGUGGCUGCGGCUGGUCUUGCUUCGCUCCUUGCCUGUGGCUCACGCACCGCGACAGAGGCCAAACGGUUGUGAACUAAGUCUGCCAGUGUGGACCAUGCAUUGGUAAGCAGUGCUGGUGACGCGGGAUGCUCCGAGAGUCAACCUACAGUGCCGGAGUGCUGGCUCAUACUCAGAUCCCACAAAGGAUGCCGCGGGCUAUGGAUAGCAGGUCGGUGGCCAUGAAGGUUGGAACCCGCUAAGGACUGUGUAACAACUCACCUGCCGAAGUCCGCGGCUCCCAAAACGGAUGGCGCCCAAGUCAGCGUGCGAUGCGCGUUCCUCAGGGUUGACUGCUGCUGUGGCAGCCUCGCUCAGUGAUGAAGAUGGCAGAGCAUCAGGCAUGUAGAGUGACACGGGGGAUCUCCAUGGCCCUGGCGCCGCCAACGGUGGGAGACCAAUCUCUGCCGAAGCCUCCUCCGGAACAGAUCUUGGUUGCAGUAGCGAGUACUCCAUCGGGUGACUGGCAGCUGUACCCACAUGGCUGCCGCGUGUGGUUGAGGACUGGAGUGGAGCAGGGUUCUGCAUCKAACAGCCGUUGAAUGCAGGUCASCCGSCCGUGAGUCAAGUGGUAAGCCCAGUGUGAACUCUACCAAGGCCAUCAUCAAUCASRGGSGAAUKCCAGGUYUCAGKGUYGCGGCUYCCAGGGUYCCMCCCUGGCCCCUYKKUGGGCCGUGUGGUGSSCCSCCACGGCKCUGUCCCCCCRGACSACCCKCUGGUGCGUUGUGUGGGAUUGGCAAACAGGUCAGCAUCAGGCAACAUCCGGCUGCCGCGGGCKAUGGAACUCACCAACACAAASGSUGGURGAUGGUGGWAACACCAGUGUGAACCGCAGCAAGCAGGCUGAGAGUCAAUGCACCCCAUGGGGCGUUAUCGUUUCCCUCUGAUGCCGUCAGACACGUAGGCUACCGAACCAGCAUGGCGGAUGGUGACGUAUGCUUCACUCUCAGCAAGGCAGUGCUGUCUCGGCACUGAUGGUUGAGGUCCAGUACGUGUGUGAACGACGCGGUGGUCAUUGACUCCACUGAAAGGCCUGUGGGACAGCUUGUUUUACCUUCCAACGGCCCUGACGGUCGUACUGUAUCACCGCAGCCGGUCUCCAUGACACGACGUCGCUGGUCAACGGAUUGAAUGCAGCUGAGGGAAGUCGGCAAACUGGCUGUGUACCCUGGGAAGAUGCAGUGGCUCCAGAGGCCAAGCCGUUGGGUCCAGUCACCGGUGACGGUCCUCCGCGGAUGGAUGUGGUAAGCCGCACGCAUGCGGUGGGGCCGCGCGACGGCCCCGCUGUGCGGUGAAGCCCACCGUGCGCGGGCCGUCUCACGGUGGCUGGGGUCUGAACAAGGGCGUGGUGAUACACGGCUGUGGGUCCACGGACCCACGGUCCACCGCGACCCCCGGGCCGUCCCAAUGGCUACCCACGUGGCUCCAAUGGAACUGUGUGCUGUGCGGAGGAAUCUGACUGUUUAAUUGAAACCCAGCUUUGUGGCUUGUGAUCGGCUGGCUGCUGCCAUGAGGUGACUUCUGCCCAGUGCUUUGUCUGUCAAUGCCAAGAGAUUGCGCCAAGCGCGGGUAAACGGCGGGAGUAACUAUGACUCUCUUAAGGUAGCCAAAUGCCUCGUCAACCAAUUAUUGACGCGCAUGAAUGGAUCAACGAGAUUCCUGCUGUCCCCAGCUGCUAUCCGGUGAAGCAACAGCCAAGGGAACGGGCUUGGACGUGCCAGCGGGGAAAGAAGAGCCUGUUGAGA
rnacentral:rRNA from 1 species